UGGUGUGCCGGAGCCAGUGGGAGGCUUUGCCUUCCACCUACACUGGCACUAAGGGGCUGCGUACCGCCCAGGUAUUGCUGCGCCUGCCUGAACCUGUUUCCUCGGUUGUGAGACGGGGAUUACGAUACCCGCCGCUCGCCACUUUCGCAGGCUGCGGCAGCGUCCUAUUGUUCCUGUUAUUCAUGGCCACACAAUCACUACAAAUCUAUGUUCGAGAGCCUUAUUCAAAUUUUAUUCAAAAUAUUAUGUGAAAAGAAACAGGCCUCUAAGAAAAUAAAUCUUUUCCUGGCACAA